rnacentral:rRNA from 1 species
UAAUACGUAGGUGGCAAGCGUUAUCCGGAUUUACUGGGCGUAAGGAGGGUGUAGGCGGUUCUUCAAGUCGGAUGUAAAAUCUCCCGGCUUAACCGGGAGGGAUCAUGCGAUACUGUUGGGCUAGAGGGCAGCAGAGGGAGAUGGAAUUCCCGGUGGAGUGGUGAAAUGCGUAGAUAUCGGGAGGAACACCAGUGGCGAAGGCGGUCUCCUAGGCUGUUUCUGACGCUGAGGUCCGAAGGUGUGGGGAGCGAACAGGCUUAGAUACCCUGGUAGUCCACACCGUAAACGAUGGACACUAGGUAUGGGGGGUAUCGACCCCCUCCGUGCCGAAGCUAACGCGCUAAGUGUCCCGCCUGGGGACUACGGCCGCAAGGCUA